rnacentral:rRNA from 1 species
UACGUAGGUGGCAAGCGUUGUCCGGAAUUAUUGGGCGUAAAGAGCUCGUAGGCGGUCUGUCGCGUCGGCUGUGAAAACUCGGGGCUCAACCCCGAGCCUGCAGUCGAUACGGGCAGACUAGAGUGCUGUAGGGGAGACUGGAAUUCCUGGUGUAGCGGUGAAAUGCGCAGAUAUCAGGAGGAACACCAAUGGCGAAGGCAGCUUGCUGGGACGGUACUGACGCUGAGGCGCGAAAGCGUGGGGAGCAAACAGG